UCCCGAGCUCGCCCCUGUUUGGCCAUCGCCAUUGUUCAACCUCGUCCGCGCCGCCAUGUCCACAUCGUCUUCAUCUUCCCUUCCUGUCCCAGCCGAUUGGCUGCUCCCUUUGAUGGCAUGCCCUCUCUGCAGCGACGAGGCCCGUCAGUGACGUUUCUUUGAGUUCCAGCGCGCAUACUGCAGGAGGAUGAUCCACGAGCAGAUCCUUGCUGCGCAGCAUCAAGCGGGAUGGCACCGAGCGGGGCAUGGAUUUGCAGUCCAGCACGGCAACGGGGCUGCCCAGAUUGUUCCCGCUGCCAUACAACCCCAAGAGUACAGGUUGCUCUGCAUACUUGCGGAUUGAAAUUUCUAGUGCGCUCAUCCUCGACGGGCAAGGCACCCGGUCAGGUGGUGCACUUCCAAGCCGGAGCCUGCAUAUUAAGAAGCAAAACGGGGGAAUGUAGUUAAUUUCUGCUUUUUUUUCAGAAUCCAGCGAAAUGAUUUUUCUGUCUUUUUUCGUUUUCAUAUUUUUAGAUUUGGAUUUUGUUCUCAGUCCUAUAGCAUACAAAUAAACAAUGGACACCGGGGAUGUUUUCCCAACCGCACCCCAGAGACGAUGGCCCCUGUGAUGCGUGCUGAUAUCUAUAUUCAUUUUUCAUGUUUCUUCUUAGUUUCUGUCUCAGUUUCAUAAUUUUUGGAAACGGAAUAACAGUCUUGGUCAUUUUAUUCUACAUCUGAAGGCAAGUGCAGUACCACGAUA